rnacentral:RNase_P_RNA from 1 species
GAGGAAAGUCCGGACUCCAUAUAGAAUAAAAUAGCUGGAUAAGCCCCAGUGUAGGUGACUACGAGGAAAGUGCCACAGAAAAAAACCACUUAAAAAAAUCUUUUAAGCAAGGGUGCAAAGGUGUGGUAAAAGCAUACCAGAAAUAUUGUGAAGAUAUUUGCUCGGUAAACCCCAUAAUGGAGCAAAGUCAUGAGUAUUAGGAUAAUUUAUCUAUCUAUAUGUACUUUCGAAAAUAUACUGCAAUAAGUCGAUGCUAGUAACUACAGAUAAAUAACUACCCUUUCGAUAUGAAUAUAUCAAAGAACAGAAUCCGGCUUAC